rnacentral:rRNA from 1 species
AGUGGCGAACGGGUGAGUAAUGCAUCGGAACGUACCGUGUAGUGGGGGAUAACGUAGCGAAAGUUACGCUAAUACCGCAUACGCCCUGAGGGGGAAAGUGGGGGACCGCAAGGCCUCACGCUAUAUGAGCGGCCGAUGUCGGAUUAGCUAGUUGGUAGGGUAAAGACCUACCAAGGCGACGAUCCGUAGCGGGUCUGAGAGGAUGAUCCGCCACACUGGGACUGAGACACGGCCCAGACUCCUACGGGAGGCAGCAGUGGGGAAUUUUGGACAAUGGGCGCAAGCCUGAUCCAGCCAUGCCGCGUGAGUGAAGAAGGCCUUCGGGUUGUAAAGCUCUUUCAGACGGAAAGAAAUCUCUCGGGAUAACACCCUGGGAGGAUGACGGUACCGUAAGAAGAAGCACCGGCUAACUACGUGCCAGCAGCCGCGGUAAUACGUAGGGUGCGAGCGUUAAUCGGAAUUACUGGGCGUAAAGCGUGCGCAGGCGGUGAUGUAAGACAGAUGUGAAAUCCCCGGGCUCAACCUGGGAACUGCGUUUGUGACUGCAUCACUCGAGUACGGCAGAGGGAGGUGGAAUUCCGCGUGUAGCAGUGAAAUGCGUAGAUAUGCGGAGGAACACGAUGGCGAACGCAGCUCCUGGGCCAGUACUGACGCUCAUGCACGAAAGCGGUGG